GCCACUGCCGACGUUUUGCUGGAAUGUUGUAGCGGCGUCGGCGGUGGCGGUCAGGAGGUCGGCGAAGAGCUUGCAGCCCUUUUUGGACAUUAGGGCGAUGACGCUGGCUGGGGGAGAGGGCGCUGCGGGAGCUGGCGCGGUGAUGGCUGCGGCUGUGGUGUGGCCGUGGGACGGCAGAGUAAUGCUGAGGAGGAGGAAGAGGGGGAGGAGGAGCUGCAUUGUCACGGCGGAGGGCAGCGCCGUGGAUGGUGUCGGAAGAGAGAGAAGAGGGAUGGAGUG
rnacentral:misc_RNA from 1 species